UGUUCUAGGAGAUAUGUUUCAGCCUGUGUGUUCUGUAUUUCUGCAAGAAAUGUUUAAUAUUUAGAGGUGAAGGCACUCAGGCUCGCUGCUAUUUUUGGAUUCCUUUCUAACCUGCUUUCUUUCUUUUUAUCCCCACCUCCUUCCCUUUUUUGUGGCUUUCCGGUGUAAGCGGCCACAGCAAACACCUGUUCAGGAUGCAGGAGGAAUCCUUCACCGCCAGCCUAAGGAGAAUGUUGGUGACAGCCGCCAAAACACCUUGAUCACACAUUCCCAGCACCCUGCCCUGCCAGCAGCCAGAGGAAAGUCCAGUUUAUGUUAAUAAGGUGUCUGGAGACUGGCCCCCUUCCUGUUUCCCACAAGGUGCUGCCAUUUGUUUCCCUUCUCCACUGGCCAGGCCCUGGCUGAGCACGGCCCUGGGCAGCCCACUGGACCCAGCAGGAGCAGCGCUCCACAUCCUGCCGGCAUGCUCCGAGCGGGGUGGCUUUGCAAUGCUGCAACUUCUCGUCUGGGGCAAAAGGGACACAAGAGGACUCUCAUUCCUCAUUUAGCUACUGGGGGGCAUAUGUCACGGGUAGAACAUCCCAAAGGGAUGCUUUCAGCAUCCAAAGAGAGCAGUUAUGUCAUUGCCAGUGGGGGUCAGGCUUGGUGUGCCUCCCUCGGGAUGUCACCUCUCCAGCUGGGAAGUCCUGGCAUGGCAGGUAGCAGCCAAGCUGCUCCAGUUUUUGUGCCUGGCCACAGACCUCCCAGACUGUGGUGUUCCUGGCCAGCUUGGCCAUAUAGCAGAGCCAGUGAUAUCAUCAUUUUCUUUUUUAGCUGAUUACCACCUUCAUUGCACAAGUGUCAUUCCACUAUGGCUGAUGUAAUGGCGAAUCAAGUCCUUGGGCUAAGGGACUGAACUGUGCCUUGGCUGUAAACUGCAGGCUUCCAGAGGAAGCCUCAAUGCUCUCAUUUUGUAUUUAUCCCUAGGAAAGCAAAUGAAAAUACAUCAUUGUCCUCAAGAUUGCUGAAAGAAGCAAGUCCUUUUUUUAAAUUAUAUUUCUGCAGCCAUGAAUAGUAAAUUUCCUCCAUUCAUGACUGGUUUAUAAAAGAGUUUGCUAACUAACCAGAUCUGAAAAACUUUCUUUCUCAGCAAGUAUUGCAGUAAGAGAAUUGUUUGUGUUUUUAUUACUUUCUCAAUAUUUUUGUUAUCCUCUUUCCCAAGACACGAUUAGAUUUUCCAGUCUUCUGGACAUCAAAGAUUUUGGAGAAGAGUUUGUAUAAACUGGAUAGGUAACAGCUGUUACCAGAUGGAUUUACUGGUGGAAAGGGGAGAAGGCUAAUUUGUUUUAUGGGUUUCCUCCCAGUGCUGGCACCUUUUACUCUGGCACACUGUUGCUGUCCUGUGACAAGGAGUGUCCUUGCACAGAGGGAGCCCUUGUCCACAGGAUUACACCUAACUUUGGGUUUCACUGUUGGUUAUAAGUGACUUUUCCAAGUGCUUUCUUUGUAGCUCUUUAACCUGAUCCUCCAGUAGUUCAUUAGAGAAAAAAAAAAAAAAAAAAAGAGAGAGCAGCUCUAAUAUUGUUAGAUAUUGACACUGACAGAUUUUAAUUUCUAACCUUUUCAAGUCAGAAGCUAUAGUUUGCUUCAGUUCUGGAUAUCUCAGGACACUUACAGUUGGAUUUAUUUUUGUAAAAUAAAUAACCUAAUUCCUCGAGAAAGGUCACAGUACCAAAGGGGAGUUUCAGGUGUAUCAUCUCUGUUGUGCCCUUCUAUUUAACAUAUGAAUGACCAUUUGUAUGAAUCUUUUUUACUUCAUCUAGUGUAAAAUUCCUUAUGUUCCUCUUUUAGAUUACUGACUGAUUGAAAAAGGUCAUAGAGGAGAAAUGGUGAUUUGUAGCAUUGCAAAGCACUAAAUGGUAAAAGAGACUGUGUGCAUAUAUAACAACCUGAUUUUUGCAUAUUGCUAUACCAACAAUAUCUGAUCCCAUUCAGAUAACAGUAAAGCAGCCUACAGCUUUGACCAGAUUCAAGGAAACUCACGCUGCUUGUUCUUUUCUUUCUUGUUUUAGGUUUGAUCUUCUUGAUUUGACAUUUGCACGUUGUGUUUUUAAGUACCUACCCUUGUGUUUUUCAAGCUUCAGCAAGGGAGAGCACUUUCAAUAUAUAUUGUCUGCAAAAGUGUCCUAUGUCCUAAGAAUAUGCUGACAUUCAACCUGAUCUAAAAACUUGAGAUGGACUGGCAUCUUCUCAAUCCAGUCUCUUUUUUCCUGGGGUAGCCUAGAUGAAUACUUUUGAUCCUUUCCUUCUCUGAGCAACUUCAGAAUCCAUUGCCAUUGCAGGAGAGGAGACUGACUUCACCUAGUCUGUGAGGCUCCUCAGACCUUUGCAAAAAUGCUCAGAGUUUAACUCUUCUCUGCAGCUGGCCUGGGGUGGGGUUAGCUGGGGGAAUAUCACUGGGCACCUCAGCUGGGAGAAUAUCACUGGGCACCUCAGCUGGGAGAAUAUCACUGGAGCAGACAGUCUAUGUCAGCCAACUGCUGUCAGGGGGAAGGAUCAGAGGGACACAACAGAAUCCAUACCAGAAAAUCAUCUCUAACGUGAUUUUAGGCUUUGAGCCUUAAUUAAUUUCAAACUGUUUUUCUGCAUCUCCUUCAUUCACUCAUUGAGUACUGCUCCAUAUAGUUAAAGCAAAUGACCAAGAAAAGAGAGGAAAUUCAUCUAAAAGAGCAACAGAGCUUCUGUGCAAUACUCGGGGUAUUUUUUCCUGCACAACCAAUGGGGAAAUUGGAACAGCUCUGACAGUUGCAAGACGAAGUUUUCCAUCUUUAGUGAACAUUUAGACCCCAAUAAGCAUCAAAGUACAAAGCCAAUAACAAAAAUGUGGAAGAGGCUCAAGACUAGCUGGGUAGUUUGCUGCAUGAACGGGGAAGGUCCUUGAUAUUUCUUUGAAGAAAACAAGUGUGCUGUGUACAUUUCAUACAAAUAGGGAAAGAGGUGAAUGACUAAAGGAAUGAUGAAAUCUAGUUUUAGCUGUUUUAUAGACAGCUCUUUCCACAUGCCAAGUUAGGAGCCAUUCAGGUGAAUUCAUGUUACCCUGUUAUCUCAGGGUCUCCAGGCUGGGUGAAAGCACAUAUGGAAUUAAGCACAUUUAAUGCUUGUACAGUGGCAAAAACUGGUGUAAAUCACAGCCUUUUAAAGGUGUGUUAAACAGGAAAGUCUCUCACAUCCAGAAGAGGGGACCGUGUUGGCAAGUUAAAGAAUCAGCAGGAGCUUGUACAAGUGGUCAUACCAAAUGGCUGCCAAGUUAUGAAAGGAACAGGUAAUUCAGGUGUGGUAUCUCACAGCCUGUUGUUAUCUUUAAAGUGAGGUUUGUGAGCCUGUGUGAAAACUUGUGCAGGUAGUGUAUGUCAAGGUAAAGCUACAUUUCAUCAAAUCACAGAAUCACAGAAUGAUUUCUGUUAAAGAUCAUCUUGUUCCAAUGCCCCUGCCAUGUCCAGGGACAGCUUUCUCUAGACCAGGUUUCUCAAAGCCCCUUGCAAGGAUGGGGCACAAAGUUUGGUUGUUUUUGCUUCACUCCAUGAGCUGUUUGCACAGGAGCUGAAGGGCGGUUUUCAGUGCACUAUGGAUAGACACUGCUGUCGUUAUUUUUACUACUCCCUUAUCAUGUAUUUCAGGCUCUGCAGUGACAAUGAUGAUUAAAUAAAAAAUAAGAAAUCAUUAACUUGA